UUUUUUUCAUCCAUUUAAUCGAUCAAUUGUCAGAAUAACUGAUGAUUAAGCUGCUUCAGUUGGAUGCAGAAUCACAAAGUCGGCCUUCCAUCACCUGAACAACAUUUCCAGGUUUAAAGAAAUAAUGUCCAACAAGAUCUACAGAAACAGAACCAUGUGUUUAUAUUUAGUCACAUUGAUUACUGCAACCAAUCAGAUCCAGAACGCUGCUGCUGAAGUUCUGACUAAAACCAGGAAGAUAGAGAACAUCCUCCCUGCUCCAAAGUCCCUACACUGAGAGAAGAGACUAUUGAUUCAGCGUUUCCAAGUGCUGCGCUGCCGCCGCUGGUAUGAUGGAAAUUGUCUCAGAAAUCUUCAGGUGGAUGCAACCGCGACUCUUCCUGCAGCUGCUGCUGCAGUCUCAUCAUUAUUUUAAAUAGAAAACA